rnacentral:sRNA from 1 species
CCGGUGGCCCGAUCGGGCCCGGCAAGUCUGGGAGGCGUUUCUCUUGGGCGCCUCUAGUAUCCAUGUUGCUCAAGGAGGAUAUGGCUAUGAGGA